rnacentral:rRNA from 1 species
GACGAACGCUGGCGGCGUGCCUAAUACAUGCAAGUAGAACGCUGAAGAGAGGAGCUUACUCUUCUUGGAUGAGUUGCGAACGGGUGAGUAACGCGUAGGUAACCUGCCUUGUAGCGGGGGAUAACUAUUGGAGACGAUAGCUAAUACCGCAUAACAAUGGAUGACACAUGUCAUUUAUUUGAAAGGGGCAAUUGCUCCACUACAAGAUGGACCUGCGUUGUAUUAGCUAGUAGGUGAGGUAAUGGCUCACCUAGGCGACAAUACAUAGCCGACCUGAGAGGGUGAUCGGCCACACUGGGACUGAGACACGGCCCAGACUCCUACGGGAGGCAGCAGUAGGGAAUCUUCGGCAAUGGGGGCAACCCUGACCGAGCAACGCCGCGUGAGUGAAGAAGGUUUUCGGAUCGUAAAGCUCUGUUGUAAGUCAAGAACGGGUGUGAGAGUGGAAAGUUCACACUGUGACGGUAGCUUACCAGAAAGGGACGGCUAACUACGUG